GACGAACGCUGGCGGCGUGCCUAAUACAUGCAAGUAGAACGCUGAAGAGAGGAGCUUGCUCUUCUUGAAUGAGUUGCGAACGGGUGAGUAACGCGUAGGUAACCUGCCUUGUAGCGGGGGAUAACUAUUGGAAACGAUAGCUAAUACCGCAUAACAAUAGGUGACACAUGUCAUUUAUUUGAAAGGGGCAAUUGCUCCACUACAAGAUGGACCUGCGUUGUAUUAGCUAGUAGGUGAGGUAACGGCUCACCUAGGCGACGAUACAUAGCCGACCUGAGAGGGUGAUCGGCCACACUGGGACUGAGACACGGCCCAGACUCCUACGGGAGGCAGCAGUAGGGAAUCUUCGGCAAUGGGGGCAACCCUGACCGAGCAACGCCGCGUGAGUGAAGAAGGUUUUCGGAUCGUAAAGCUCUGUUGUAAGUCAAGAACGAGUGUGAGAGUGGAAAGUUCACACUGUGACGGUAGCUUACCAGAAAGGGACGGCUAACUACGUGCCAGCAGCCGCGGUAAUACGUAGGUCCCGAGCGUUGUCCGGAUUUAUUGGGCGUAAAGCGAGCGCAGGCGGUUUGAUAAGUCUGAAGUUAAAGGCUGUGGCUCAACCAUAGUUCGCUUUGGAAACUGUCAAACUUGAGUGCAGAAGGGGAGAGUGGAAUUCCAUGUGUAGCGGUGAAAUGCGUAGAUAUAUGGAGGAACACCGGUGGCGAAAGCGGCUCUCUGGUCUGUAACUGACGCUGAGGCUCGAAAGCGUGGGGAGCGAACAGG
rnacentral:rRNA from 1 species